rnacentral:rRNA from 1 species
UACGGGGGGGGCAAGCGUUGUUCGGAAUUACUGGGCGUAAAGGGCUCGUAGGCGGUCAACUAAGUCAGACGUGAAAUCCCUCGGCUUAACCGGGGAACUGCGUCUGAUACUGGAUGGCUUGAAUCCGGGAGAGGGAUGCGGAAUUCCGGGUGUAGCGGUGGAAUGCGUAGAGAUCCGGAGGAAGACCGGUGGCGAAGGCGGCCUGCUGGGCAGUUACUGACACUGAGGCGCGACAGCGUGGGGAGCAAACAGG